AGCUCCAAUAGCGUAUAUUAAUGUUGUUGCAGUUAAAAAGCUCGUAGCCGACUCUCGGGGCGGCUGUAACGGUCCGCAGAAAUGUGAGCACUGUUGUGGUCGCCUCUUCCUUCUGGACACCAUGUCUUCUCUUAACUGAGCGGAUGUGGGGGCCAGAUCGUUCACUUUGAACAAAUUAGAGUGUUCAAAGCAGGCCUCCGCCUGAAUACUUGAGCAUGGAAUGAUAUCAAUAGGUCCUUCCUCCCCGUUUAUUGGUGAUGGGGAGGAAGGAAAUGAGAAAGGGGAAUGGUUGGGGCCAUUCGUACUGCAGCGUUAGAGGUGAAAUUCUUGGAUCGCUGCAAGACGAACAACAGCGAAAGCAUUUGGCAAGAACGUUUCCA
rnacentral:rRNA from 1 species